GAUGAACGCUGGCGGCGUGCCUAAUACAUGCAAGUCGAGCGAACGGACGAGAAGCUUGCUUCUCUGAUGUUAGCGGCGGACGGGUGAGUAACACGUGGAUAACCUACCUAUAAGACUGGGAUAACUUCGGGAAACCGGAGCUAAUACCGGAUAAUAUUUUGAACCGCAUGGUUCAAAAGUGAAAGACGGUCUUGCUGUCACUUAUAGAUGGAUCCGCGCUGCAUUAGCUAGUUGGUAAGGUAACGGCUUACCAAGGCAACGAUGCAUAGCCGACCUGAGAGGGUGAUCGGCCACACUGGAACUGAGACACGGUCCAGACUCCUACGGGAGGCAGCAGUAGGGAAUCUUCCGCAAUGGGCGAAAGCCUGACGGAGCAACGCCGCGUGAGUGAUGAAGGUCUUCGGAUCGUAAAACUCUGUUAUUAGGGAAGAACAUAUGUGUAAGUAACUGUGCACAUCUUGACGGUACCUAAUCAGAAAGCCACGGCUAACUACGUGCCAGCAGCCGCGGUAAUACGUAGGUGGCAAGCGUUAUCCGGAAUUAUUGGGCGUAAAGCGCGCGUAGGCGGUUUUUUAAGUCUGAUGUGAAAGCCCACGGCUCAACCGUGGAGGGUCAUUGGAAACUGGAAAACUUGAGUGCAGAAGAGGAAAGUGGAAUUCCAUGUGUAGCGGUGAAAUGCGCAGAGAUAUGGAGGAGCACCAGUGGCGAAGGCGACUUUCUGGUCUGUAACUGACGCUGAUGUGCGAAAGCGUGGGGAUCAAACAGGAUUAGAUACCCUGGUAGUCCACGCCGUAAACGAUGAGUGCUAAGUGUUAGGGGGUUUCCGCCCCUUAGUGCUGCAGCUAACGCAUUAAGCACUCCGCCUGGGGAGUACGACCGCAAGGUUGAAACUCAAAGGAAUUGACGGGGACCCGCACAAGCGGUGGAGCAUGUGGCUUAAUUCGAAGCAACGCGAAGAACCUUACCAAAUCUUGACAUCCUUUGACAACUCUAGAGAUAGAGCCUUCCCCUUCGGGGGACAAAGUGACAGGUGGUGCAUGGUUGUCGUCAGCUCGUGUCGUGAGAUGUUGGGUUAAGUCCCGCAACGAGCGCAACCCUUAAGCUUAGUUGCCAUCAUUAAGUUGGGCACUCUAAGUUGACUGCCGGUGACAAACCGGAGGAAGGUGGGGAUGACGUCAAAUCAUCAUGCCCCUUAUGAUUUGGGCUACACACGUGCUACAAUGGACAAUACAAAGGGCAGCGAAACCGCGAGGUCAAGCAAAUCCCAUAAAGUUGUUCUCAGUUCGGAUUGUAGUCUGCAACUCGACUACAUGAAGCUGGAAUCGCUAGUAAUCGUAGAUCAGCAUGCUACGGUGAAUACGUUCCCGGGUCU
rnacentral:rRNA from 1 species